rnacentral:rRNA from 1 species
AUGCUUAACACAUGCAAGUCGCACGGUCAGCAAUGGCAGUGGCGGACGGGUGAGUAACGCGUAGGUAUCUAUCCUCGGUGGGGGGACAACCACGGGAAACUGUGGCUAAUACCGCAUGAUGACUGAGGUCUAAAGGCGCAAGUCGCCUGAGGAGGAGCCUGCGUCCGAUUAGCUAGUUGGUGGGGUAAAGGCCCUACCCAAGGCUCCGAUCGGUAGCUGGUCUGAGAGGAUGAUCAGCCACACUGGGACUGAGACACGGCCCAGACUCCUACGGGAGGCAGCAGUGGGGAAUAUUGGACAAUGGGGGCAACCCUGAUCCAGCAAUGCCGCGUGUGUGAAGAAGGCCUUCGGGUUGUAAAGCCCUUUUGGCGGGGACGAUGAUGACGGUACCCGCAGAAUAAGCUCCGGCUAACUUCGUG